rnacentral:rRNA from 1 species
UACGUAGGGUGCAAGCGUUGUCCGGAAUUAUUGGGCGUAAAGAGCUCGUAGGUGGCCUGUCGCGUCGGCUGUGAAAACUCGGGGGCUCAACUCCGAGCUUGCAGUCGAUACGGGCAGGCUAGAGUUCGGCAGGGGGAGACUGGAAUUCCUGGUGUAGCGGUGAAAUGCGCAGAUAUCAGGAGGAACACCGGUGGCGAAGGCGGGUCUCUGGGCAGUAACUGACGCUGAGGAGCGAAAGCGUGGGGAGCGAACAGG